AGCGAACGCUGGCGGCAGGCCUAACACAUGCAAGUCGAACGCGUGUAGCAAUACACGAGUGGCAGACGGGUGAGUAACACGUGGGAACGUACCUUUCGGCUCGGAAUAACUCAGGGAAACUUGUGCUAAUACCGGAUACGCCUUUACGGGGAAAGAUUCAUCGCCGAAAGAUCGGCCCGCGUCUGAUUAGCUUGUUGGUGAGGUAACGGCUCACCAAGGCGACGAUCAGUAGCNGGUCUGAGAGGAUGAUCAGCCACAUUGGGACUGAGACACGGCCCAAACUCCUACGGGAGGCAGCAGUGGGGAAUAUUGGACAAU
rnacentral:rRNA from 1 species